rnacentral:rRNA from 1 species
AACGAACGCUGGCGGCAUGCCUAACACAUGCAAGUCGAACGAGAUCUUCGGGUCUAGUGGCGCACGGGUGCGUAACGCGUGGGAAUCUGCCCUUUGGUUCGGAAUAACAGUUGGAGACGACUGCUAAUACCGGAUGAUGACGAAAGUCCAAAGAUUUAUCGCCAGAGGAUGAGCCCGCGUAGGAUUAGCUAGUGGGUGUGGUAAAGGCGCACCAAGGCGACGAUCCUUAGCUGGUCUGAGAGGAUGAUCAGCCACACUGGGACUGAGACACGGCCCAGACUCCUACGGGAGGCAGCAGUGGGGAAUAUUGGACAAUGGGCGAAAGCCUGAUCCAGCAAUGCCGCGUGAGUGAUGAAGGCCUUAGGGUUGUAAAGCUCUUUUACCCGGGAUGAUAAUGACAGUACCGGGAGAAUAAGCUCCGGCUAACUCCGUGCCAGCCGCCGCAGUAA